GGAGGGGUAGCAUAGUUGGCCUAAUGCGCGCGUCUCGAAAACGCGUGAGCAGAAAUGCUCCGUGGGUUCGAAUCCCACCCCCUCCG
rnacentral:tRNA from 1 species